GUGCCGACUAAUUGGCUAACCACGCCCAGCCUGCGGAGGAUGCCAGGAGCAUGACAGUUCCCACGUGCAACUUUUUAGUUGGCAAACCAGCUCAAUCGCGCCUAACCCCGCCAACUGAUGUUCUUCCGCCACUGAAGAGAAACCAAUGUGAGUUGAUGGUGGCGGAAUGAUGUGAAGUUUGCUGCCGCCAUCUCGCAGUGACUGAAACUGGUCUAAUCAAUGCACUCAUAUUUCAAGUAACGUGGAACAGGGUGGUCAAUAAACAACGUUAAAUAAUAAGCCACAUGUUGCUUCACCCAAAUCUGGAGAACUUCUGGAGGUUGUUUUAUUGAUGAAGCCAUAGCACACGUCUCCACCGUAUCCUCAUUCUUCACAACAGCCAGUCUUGUCAAAAUUUUUGAGGUGCUGCUCUUGUGAGACUCUCACACGUAAGGUAUCAUUUCCGAAGACAGUGAAGAGGACACAAAGAUAUGAAGAUGAAUUUUUAUUAUUAUUAUUAUGCUCUCUUUGAGAGGGACUGCCAUGGUACAUCAGAAUCAAGACAAACAAAACACACGAGCACUUUACAACUGGGGAAAUUAAGCGAUACUAUAAUAUUACUGAACUGAUGAGCUAAUAUGAACGAAGAGAACAGGAGAAGUGGCGCUAUUUAUUUGCAGGGGAAAACAAACGACAGGACAGAAAGGGCUGAUACGAUCAUGCGAGCCAGGUGAAAAACAUACUGAGUGGCGGGGGAAAAAAGCCAAUAGAGCCAUUAGAACAGAUCAAUCAAAGAGAUACAGCUUGGAGAACUGGAAGACUGGCACAGACUUGAUUGGAUAAGGAAGGAUCCAAGAGACGUUGAGGCAGAAGCUACACUGGAUUAAUGGAUUAAGAGUAAGAGCCACAAUAUUUGUUGGAAUGAAGAAUUUUGUCUGACACCAGUGGUGGAUAGCAAUGAGCUACAUCCACUCCAUCAUUUAAGUAAUUUUAUGGAUAGAUGUAGUUGUCAGAAUAGUUUCAAUGCAAUAUACGUUUUACUUUUUGCGUAAGAAGAAACUCUACUUACAUUUUGCUCGCUACUUACAUUUUUAGCUACAUGUAAUUAUUAUUGCUUGCACGAUCUAUUUGGGUUUUUCAGAGAUAUUUGACCAAUCAAAUGGAGACAGGCAGUCACAUGACCACACAGAAGCAAAGUUUGCAAUGUCUCAUUUACGCGAAAUAUGGCAGAAAUCUAUGUUGACCUCGCAGAUGGACUCAAACUCUUGACCGACAUAAGGAUAAAUGCUACACAAUAUUUCAAACUACAAGAACUCCACAAAUAAAAAAAAAACAUUGUAGUUGAAGUACACGAUUUUGUAAAUGAGUCUCUAUUCAAAGUAAAAGGAUGGCAGGUUCAAAGUAAAA